GCUUGGGGCAUCUCUGCUUCCUUAACUGUUGCUGUUUCUAUGGGAUAAAACCUCAGGAUCUGCACCUUGAGUCCACCAGGGCACAGAGAAUUCCUUUUGCAACGUGAAGAAAUCAUCCUCUGUUUUCUGCUCCCAGCAAGAGAAAGAGAUGCCUUGAGCUGUCAGAAAACAUCAGUGCCAGUCAGGGACUGCACUGGCAGCACUCUGGGGCAUCUGGAAUAGACUCUGGCUGGAUGUUCAGAGCCAGGGAGGUGGAGAAGUGAAGAACAUAUAUCUCGUUCCUGUAUUGGAACAGGCUUGGCAAAAUCGUAUCCCUGAGUACUCUUUCAGUUCAAGCCAUGAACUUUUUCUCUGGAUUUACUGCAGAAUUUAAACCUGGCAGCACUUUGUAGUUUGGCUUUCACAGAGCAAAGGAGAAUAUUUCAAAUAACUGGAUCUUGUCAACAUCACAGGAGCUUUUUAAUUGAUAAGCUUCUCCUGGGUUGUGUGCCUGUACAUAAUGCCUCAGGCUGGGAAGAUGACAUAUUCUAGCUUUUAUUUUCAUAUCUGGGAAGAGCAGUGAGGAUAAGUAUGGGGGACACCACCGGAAGGCUAGCUUGAAUCCAGAGCGAAACCUGUGAAAGUGAGAAAAGCAAUGAAAUGGUGAAAUGAUCUUCCUAAUUGUGCAGAGAAUGAACAAACUCAUGACUUGGUUCUACCUGUGAAUGACUAUGGAAAUAAAUAUUCCUACUGAAAUCAAA